GAUGAACGCUGGCGGCGUGCCUAAUACAUGCAAGUCGAGCGAACGGACGAGAAGCUUGCUUCUCUGAUGUUAGCGGCGGACGGGUGAGUAACACGUGGAUAACCUACCUAUAAGACUGGGAUAACUUCGGGAAACCGGAGCUAAUACCGGAUAAUAUUUUGAACCGCAUGGUUCAAAAGUGAAAGACGGUCUUGCUGUCACUUAUAGAUGGAUCCGCGCUGCAUUAGCUAGUUGGUAAGGUAACGGCUUACCAAGGCAACGAUGCAUAGCCGACCUGAGAGGGUGAUCGGCCACACUGGAACUGAGACACGGUCCAGACUCCUACGGGAGGCAGCAGUAGGGAAUCUUCCGCAAUGGGCGAAAGCCUGACGGAGCAACGCCGCGUGAGUGAUGAAGGUCUUCGGAUCGUAAAACUCUGCUAUUAGGGAAGAACAUAUGUGUAAGUAACUGUGCACAUCCUGACGGUACCUAAUCAGAAAGCCACGGCUAACUACGUG
rnacentral:rRNA from 1 species